UAGGGAAUCUUCGGCAAUGGACGGAAGUCUGACCGAGCAACGCCGCGUGAGUGAAGAAGGUUUUCGGAUCGUAAAACUCUGUUGUUAGAGAAGAACAAGGAUGAGAGUAGAAUGUUCAUCCCUUGACGGUAUCUAACCAGAAAGCCACGGCUAACUACGUGCCAGCAGCCGCGGUAAUACGUAGGUGGCAAGCGUUGUCCGGAUUUAUUGGGCGUAAAGCGAGCGCAGGCGGUUUCUUAAGUCUGAUGUGAAAGCCCCCGGCUCAACCGGGGAGGGUCAUUGGAAACUGGGAAACUUGAGUGCAGAAGAGGAGGGUGGAAUUCCAUGUGUAGCGGUGAAAUGCGUAGAUAUAUGGAGGAACACCAGUGGCGAAGGCGGCUCUCUGGUCUGUAACUGACGCUGAGGCUCGAAAGCGUGGGGAGCAAACAGG
rnacentral:rRNA from 1 species